AUACGUAGGGUGCGAGCGUUGUCCGGAAUUACUGGGCGUAAAGAGCUCGUAGGUGGUUUGUCGCGUCGUCUGUGAAAUUCCGGGGCUUAACUCCGGGCGUGCAGGCGAUACGGGCAUAACUUGAGUACUGUAGGGGAGACUGGAAUUCCUGGUGUAGCGGUGAAAUGCGCAGAUAUCAGGAGGAACACCGGUGGCGAAGGCGGGUCUCUGGGCAGUAACUGACGCUGAGGAGCGAAAGCAUGGGUAGCGAACAGGAUUAGAUCCCCUGGUAGUCCAUGCCGUAAACGGUGGGCGCUAGGUGUAGGGGCCUUCCACGACUUCUGUGCCGUAGCUAACGCAUUAAGCGCCCCGCCUGGGGAGUACGGCCGCAAGGCUAAAACUCAAAGGAAUUGACGGGG
rnacentral:rRNA from 1 species